UCUGGAUGUUGUAGUUUGGAGUGUGCUGUCUUAGAGAAUCUCCCUUCUUGGGGCAUAGAAAUGUGAUUGAAGCCAGCCAGAAGAAACCUGUUUAAACUGUAAUGAAGCCAUGCUAUGAAGAACAGUGGCCACGAUCAUUGGUGUAAUGUAGCAGUUUAGAACAGAGAUGAAUCCUUAUAGCUGAAUGGAUCGUUACAAUUGGGUUACUACAAUUUUACUGUUAAGGACAACUUUUUGACCUCCAAGUGGAAUGAAGGGAAAGAAAGAGGAAUUGCAUUUU